rnacentral:rRNA from 1 species
UACGGGGGGGGCAAGCGUUGUUCGGAAUUACUGGGCGUAAAGCGAGUGUAGGUGGUUGUCCAAGUUGGAUGUGAAAGCCUUGAGCUCAACUCAAGAAAUGCAUUCAGGACUGGGCGGCUAGAGGACCGGAGAGGAUAGUGGAAUUCCCAGUGUAGUGGUGAAAUACGUAGAGAUUGGGAAGAACACCAGUGGCGAAGGCGGCUAUCUGGACGGUUUCUGACACUAAGACUCGAAAGCGUGGGGAGCAAACAGG